rnacentral:rRNA from 1 species
UACAGAGGGUGCGAGCGUUGUCCGGAAUCACUGGGCGUAAAGGGCGCGUAGGCGGUCUCUUAAGCGUUGUGGUGAAAGCCCGGGGCUCAACUCCGGGUCGGCCGUGCGAACUGGGGGGACUGGAGCGUAUCAGAGGCGGGCGGGAAUUCCAGGUGUAGCGGUGAAAUGCGUAGAUAUCUGGAGGAACAUCGGUGGCGAAGGCGGCAUCCUGGACCGGCAUUGACGCUGAGGCGCGAAAGCUAAGGGGAGCAAAGCGGGG